GCAGUUGUAGCUCAGUGGUAGAGCACCCACCUCUACUGCACAAGGUCCUGGGUUUGACUCCUGGCAUCUCCA
rnacentral:tRNA from 1 species